UGGGCACGGAGACUAAGAAAGCUGAAAAAGGUGAUGUGGAUGAAAGAAAAGGGUAGUGGUUAAAGGAUUAGAUUACUUUUACUAAUUUGUGAUUAGGAGAUUGCUUUUAAUUUUUGGAUUUAUUUUUAUAAGCAUUUGUAAUUUAUUUUACUUAUUUUUCUUUUAUAGGUUUUCUGUUUUUUUUUAUUCUUCCUUCAUUUCACAUUUAUUUUAACUUUGAAUUCCUUACUUGUACAAACUGG
rnacentral:lncRNA from 1 species